UACGUAGGGUGCGAGCGUUGUCCGGAAUUAUUGGGCGUAAAGGGCUCGUAGGCGGUUUGUCACGUCGGGAGUGAAAACUCAGGGCUUAACCCUGAGCCUGCUUCCGAUACGGGCAGACUAGAGGUAUGCAGGGGAGAACGGAAUUCCUGGUGUAGCGGUGAAAAUGCGCAGAUAUCAGGAGGAACACCGGUGGCGAAGGCGGUUCUCUGGGCAUUACCUGACGUGAGGAGCGAAAGUGUGGGGAGCGAACAGG
rnacentral:rRNA from 1 species